GUGGGCGUGUGUCUGUCUUCUCGGGAAGAAGGCUUCCUCUGACGUGCUGCGGCUCAUUGGUCUACACCGCGGCCCCUGUGACCUGGAUGUGCUGUUAGCUGCACAAGUCCUGUUCCUCCUCCUCUUGCACAGCCCACCAGCCUCCUGCGUGGAAACCCUGAGGCUGCCCCCGUGUUGUGUGCGGCUUGGCCCCGACCUCUGUGCACGGCUGAUUUCCCUUGCAUGCAACUUGCUCCUCUUACAGAACUGAUCCUGACGCUAAACCCUGUGACCUUAACAGCUCUGGACGUGCUCCAGGUCAUCUGAUUCGAGCAAAGCUGUUAAGAGAAAGAAGGUGGGAGGAAGGGGUGGCCUCUUUCCGUUUGGUUUCUUUGGUUCAAAUAAACACAUUUCUUGGAUAA